rnacentral:rRNA from 1 species
GACGAACGCUGGCGGCGCGCUUAACACAUGCAAGUCGAACGGAAAGGCCUGCUUUCCCUUGUGGAUUGCGGGUACUCGAGUGGCGAACGGGUGAGUAACACGUGAGUGAUCUGCCCCCAACUUGGGUAUAAGCCUGGGAAACUGGGUCUAAUUCCCGAUAGGACUGCAGGGUGGUGCCUGUGGUGGAAAACGAUUUUCUAGUGGUUGGGGAUGAGCUCGCGGCCUAUCAGCUUGUUGGUGGGGUAAUGGCCUACCAAGGCGGCGACGGGUAGCCGGCCUGAGAGGGUGGACGGCCACAUUGGGACUGAGAUACGGCCCAGACUCCUACGGGAGGCAGCAGUGGGGAAGAGUGCACAAUGGGCGGAAGCCUGAUGCAGCGACGCCGCGUGGGGGAUGACGGCCUUCGGGUUGUAAACUCCUUUCGACCGCGAGGAAGCCACCUGGUUGGAAGGGUGGUGACGGUAGUGGUAGAAGAAGCACCGGCUAACUACGUG